GCCGGCAGCUAGCUCUCUGCAAUUUUCACAUGGUCGCCCACUGAAGCUAAGCAGGGCUGCGCCCGGUCAGCACCUGGAUGGGAGAUCACAUGGGAAAGCCGGGUUGCUGUUAGUG
rnacentral:rRNA from 1 species